GACGAACGCUGGCGGCAUGCUUAACACAUGCAAGUCGAGCGGGCAUCCCCGUCGUGUCAGCUGCAGACGGGUGAGUAACGCGUGGGAACGUGCCCUUCUGUUCGGCAUAACUCAGGGAAACUUUGGCUAACACCGGAUACUAGCGAGAGCAGACAGGCUUAUCUGGCGAAGGAUCGGCCCGCGGCUGCUUGGUGGGUUGGUGGGGUUAUGUCUCACCAAGGGGGAGAUCAGUAGCUGGUCUGAGAGGAUGAUCUGGGACACUGCGACUGAGACACGCCCCAGAGGCCGACGGGAGGCAGCAGAGGGGACUAUUGGACCAUGGCGGCAACCCUGACCCAGCCUGGCCGAGGAAGUGAUGACGGCCUUAGGCUUGUAAAGCCCUUUUCGCCGCGACGGUAAUGACGGUACCGGAAGAAGAAGCCCCGGCCAACUACGUG
rnacentral:rRNA from 1 species